rnacentral:rRNA from 1 species
GACAGAGGGGGCAAGCGUUGCUCGGAAUUACUGGGCGUAAAGCGUGCGCAGGCGGCUUCGCAAGUCAGACGUGAAAUCCCCGGGCUUAACCUGGGAAUGGCGUUUGAAACUACGGAGCUGGAGUAUGGCAGAGGGGGGUGGAAUUCCACGUGUAGCGGUGAAAUGCGUAGAUAUGUGGAGGAACACCGAUGGCGAAGGCAGCCCCCUGGGCCAAUACUGACGCUCAUGCACGAAAGCGUGGGGAGCAAACAGG